CUCACAUUUAUUUUUUGCUGUUGAUCCAAAAGAAGGCAAAACAACCCAGUUUGAAGCACAAUUUUGCAACAAGCUAAGAAAAAAAUUCCUUCUUGACUCCAGAAUGGCAGUCAGAUUUAUCAUUGGAUCAAGCAGUUAUUACCCUGCAUUGAAAGAUUAUAUUCUUGAAUAUUCUGUUUUUGCAAGUAUGCAUCUAGUAGCUGUUUGAACAUCUGUAUGGACUCAUUCCACAUCCUUAUUGUUCUUACAGUAAAAAAAC